GACGAACGCUGGCGGCGUGCCUAAUACAUGCAAGUAGAACGCUGAAGGAGGAGCUUGCUUCUCUGGAUGAGUUGCGAACGGGUGAGUAACGCGUAGGUAACCUGCCUGGUAGCGGGGGAUAACUAUUGGAAACGAUAGCUAAUACCGCAUAAGAGUAGAUGUUGCAUGACAUUUGCUUAAAAGGUGCAAUUGCAUCACUACCAGAUGGACCUGCGUUGUAUUAGCUAGUUGGUGGGGUAACGGCUUACCAAGGCGACGAUACAUAGCCGACCUGAGAGGGUGAUCGGCCACACUGGGACUGAGACACGGCCCAGACUCCUACGGGAGGCAGCAGUAGGGAAUCUUCGGCAAUGGACGGAAGUCUGACCGAGCAACGCCGCGUGAGUGAAGAAGGUUUUCGGAUCGUAAAGCUCUGUUGUAAGAGAAGAACGAGUGUGAGAGUGGAAAGUUCACACUGUGACGGUAUCUGACCAGAAAGGGACGGCUAACUACGU
rnacentral:rRNA from 1 species